GGAGGAAUAUUGGGUCAAAUGGGGGCGCAAGCCUGAACCAGCCAAGUAGCGUGAGGGAAGACUGCCCUACGGGUUGUAAACCUCUUUUGUUUGGGAAUAAAGUGCGGGACGUGUCCCGCAUUGCAUGUACCAUUUGAAUAAGGACCGGCUAAUUCCGUGCCAGCAGCCGCGGUAAUACGGAAGGUCCGGGCGUUAUCCGGAUUUAUUGGGUUUAAAGGGAGCGCAGGCCGUGGGUUAAGCGUGUCGUGAAAUUCCGUCGCUCAACGGCGGACGUGCGGCGCGAACUGGUCCACUUGAGUACGCGGGACGUUGGCGGAAUUCGUGGUGUAGCGGUGAAAUGCUUAGAUAUGACGAAGAACUCCGAUUGCGAAGGCAGCCUUCUGGGGUGUUACUGACGCUGAGGCUCGAAAGUGCGGGAAUCAAACAGGAUUAGAUACCCUGGUAGU
rnacentral:rRNA from 1 species